GCUGAACAGACGACAACCCGGGAGCUAAGACUGCUGUUCUUCCAGAGGACCUGGAUUCAGUUCCCAGCAUCUGGGUGGCUCACAAACACCUGUAACGUCUGUCCCAGGCUAUUCAACCCUGUAUUCUGGUCUCCAUGGGCAUCUGUAUGCUUGUGAUACACGUACACAUCCUCAGACACACAUGCACAUCAGAAAGUAAAAAUUAAAAAUCUUUAAGCCUAGUCUCAACCUUCUAGUAUAGCACAGCCCUCUGAAAGAGGCCCAAAGCCACCGAGACUAGAAACUUCCAAAAUGCUGUUUUCCUUAAGAAAAUCUGAGACAUCUAGAGUUACUUUAGUUUGAAAUAUUUCAAAAUUCCAGGCAGGACUGUGAACAUCGAUUUCUUCUUCUUAGAAUUCUGAAGGUCCUCCUCUAUCUUUCCUCCCUUUGUGAGCCAGCAGGAAAUGCUAGGCUAAGCCACCAGGCAUGCGGACAAAAUGCCAGGCGGGAAGGAGCCAACAAUAUCACCACCAAGUAUGCGAACGUCAGAAAAACUGCUUGGUAAACAUUACAAGGCCAGUGAGCUUACAGCCCAGGAGAACAGUGCUUAAGGAAUACCGCAGCCUGCCCUUCCCAAACUAGGUGUUUUCUUGGCAGAGACAAAUUCAGCACAAAUGACAAAGGACUUCAAUUUCAUUCCCACCAGCAAACGGGGUUGUUUUUAUUUUUAAAAAGCAACCUAUGUGAUUUAAAAGAAUUAUGAUUUUUAGAAAUGAAAAAGUUUAUUAGGUGUGAUCCUCCCAAUCCCUGCCAAACUCUAGCCCCUGGAAUCAAGUAUACACUGUACUAAAAAAUAAAAAUAAAAACUGCCAAGUGCCACGGGGCCUCCCUCUCUCGACUACUUUGAAAAGAAUCUAAAAGAAUCAGGAGGAAUUUAUAACUCCCAAUAUAUUUAACCAAAACUUUGUGUUUUUUUUUCCCAAUACAGUCCAUUCUUCAAAUGACUCCACACACUUUAUGACCCAGGAUGUUAAAAGAACGGGUUUAGAAACAAAUAGAAGCCCUCUGAGAUCUAAUACCUUAUAGACAACAGCAUGAAGAAUUAUAAACUGUUAUUAAAGUGAGAACAGAUAAUAUUAAUGGAAAUAAUAGUCACUACCAUCACAAGAGUCACAGCAGGGAUUGUCUGCAGCAACAUGGCAUCAGUCAUCUCUGUCCUUGAUAUCAUAGUCAACUGAGUGGCUUACUCUUGUCUCACACCAACACCAAGGACUAUAGUUGACAAGCUGGCUAGAGGGACACAAGAUCCCAAGCCAAAAUGUCAAAGCUUGACCUUUGGUCCUGGUAUCCAUGUGAACUUGUGCAAACGAUCUCAGCCACUCAAUGCUCCAUCCUCAUUGCCUGUAAAUGGAAACAGUGACAUCUGUGACAUCUACUUCACAAGGCAGCUUUGAGGAAUAGGUGUGACAGAUCCGUGACAUGCUCAGAACAGUGCCUCAUGCUGUUGUGAGAUAGCAGAAGGCAACCUCAGAGAUGAUGAAACUGAGCCUCCAUCACUUUCUCUAAGACACUCUGCUGGUGAAUGCUGAAACAAGUUUGAACCCAGGCAGACUGACUUGAUCCCAUUCCCUAAAUCGACAUACAAAAGCACAUGUAUGUUUCAAAAAUAUAUAUUCCUAUGUUUGUAUCUGAAAAAGGUAGAAAGUUCAUCAACUAGGCCGACUGAUUUUUGUGGCUAUGGUGUCCAGUGGCUAAGUACCCAGAAUGCCAGGUCUUCUACAUAGUGCAGAGAUCACACUGAAAAUCAGAGGGAACCCGGGGGAGGGGGGGAGUGGGGUCCUAUGAACCUCCUUUUCUAGGGAGAAAGAAGAAAUAUACAAACACUCUAACCUGAAAAACAACAGACAAAGACAACUGUCAAAACAAAGACAUUUUUAAGCAGUCUUAGCAGGCUCCAGACACAGAUCAUCUCUUUAAAAUGGUCUAGCAGAUUUGCCCUCAGUCCCAGGCCUGUAAUGUUCUAUCGAAUGGCACUUCUUCCCCACACGCUCUGCUCUGUGUUACCAGCACUUGAGGCACGGCUCUGAUAUCUUAGUGCACAUGUUUUAAGUGGAAAAUAUUUCAAACAAAUUUCCUGAAGAACAAGGAAGAAGAGUGUGCAUUGGUAACAAAAAUUUAAACAUGGAUUUCUUUUUAUUUUCAUGUAAGUCUUUCAUUCCUUUGGAGGUUUAGAGCCAUGGUGAAGCAAACUAAUGAAAGAGAAGCAAUUAAGACCUCCUUAAAAAACAGCACAGAGCUAUUCAGAAUGUUGGAACUCGGCUCUGAAAGCUUUUUGGUCGAUGACAAAACAACUACUUGUCUAAGGCAAAAGUCAAGUAUCCAAUUUCUAUUCACUAAAUUGGAAUGCGUUCCUAUACAAUAUAUCUCUCAGUGUGAUCUGUGUGUCACUCUGUAAAAAAAACAGAAAACAGUUUAACUUUCAAACUGCCCAGGUGCACAAGGAAACAGCACGCCAUCCUCAUGUCAAACAGAGACUGUCCUAAUGCUAGAACAAGAGGCCAUAUGAAGAGUUAGACACACUCGCCUUCCCAGGUAAAAUGGAAUAGCUUCAUGCCAAAGCUGGGUAAAUCUAUGCAAUAGAAGGACUUACAUAUUCUCCAAUAUCAAGGUGAAGGCCUAUCAACUUCUCCCUAUACUAUUAAAAAAAUAACACACACACACACACACACACACACACACACACACAGAGAGAGAGAGAGAGAGAGAGAGAGAGAGAGAGAGAGAGAGAGGGAGGGAGAGAGAGAGAGAGAGAGAGAGACUCGUGUAAACAUUCCAGAAUAUUUAUAUUAAUUCUAAAAUGAAAGGAGUUUUUUAGUGAACCAGGGCAAGCACAAGUCAUAAGAUAAAGGGCAUUUAUAUACCUUCCUGGGGAUUCAGCAGAGAUGGCCAGUCAGGAAAGGUAAAGGAAGGCAUAGAGGGCAGGAAACAAGGGAAAUGUUAAGCAGUAAAGUUUAUGCACAUAGAAAAAUAUCCACUUAAGAAAUAAACAUGGGGACCACAAAUUUGUCAAUGACAUCAGUAUAAUAAUGGAAUGUACUAUUAAAAUUAGAAAGGAAAUUAAUUGGUUCUUUUGUUCUUUUUUGUUGGCUGAAACUCUACAUUAAUUUAUACCAAUUUAAAAUUAACAUUAAUAGGACUUGCAGAACUCUAAAGUAAUAGUGAAUAUUCAGAGUUCCACAUGCAAUUUUAUAAAGUAUUUUGUUUAUUUUGCCCUGUGCCAUGUGGUAUAUCAUAUUGCUUCUGUUCCUAGUCCAUCUGCUUUAUGAGUUCCUUUGGUAGCACACAAAUUUGCUGUUUGUGAUUAUACCUUCUUGCAUGUAUACUGCAUUGUACAAAUAGAAUUUAAGUUGUCCCCUGCCCCACAAGGCAAUGGUCAAGUCUUAACUUCCAGGUCUAGUGAACAAUGGGACUUAGACAUGGUGUCUGUGCAGAUCAAAAUAAGAACAUUGGUCAUUAGGGUUGUCCAGUUUCCAGUAGGAAGGGGGAACGUGGACAAAGAGCCAGGCAUAAAAGAAAAAUGAUGGCAACGAUGUGGAGAUCAGAGAAGACAUCUGUAAGCCAAAGGCCGUCUCUGAUAACAAAAAGGCAAGAGAGAGGUAUGGGAGAGAGCAUCCCUCACUGCUCUCAGAAGGAAGCCAACCGGUCAACACAUGGAUGUUACUGUUACAAAAGAAUAUUCUGACUGGGCUAUUAAUAGAGAAAAGAAAUUCAGUUUCUCACAGUUCUUGAGUUCAGGGAGUCCAGUGUCAAAAAAUUCUUGCUUCAUUAACCCACGAUGGAAAGCAAGAGGGAGAGAGUGCAUGAGAGCAUGCAAGACUGAGCUCACAGCCUGAAGCACUCUAUAAUUGGCACUGAAGUCCUACGGCUUCACUCUCACAACAACCUCUCAUUAGGGCCCAACACCGGCAUUCGGAGAUGUGUCUCCAGGGCAUUCUUUGGGGCGUGGGGGUGGGAAGGACACAUGGAAACCACAGCAGACUCCUAAGAUCUGGAACUAUAGGGCAUAGCUGCAGUGGUUUAAGCCACUCAAUUUGUGGCACCCCCACCUCAAUAGUUUUAGGAAAUAAACACAUAUGUUGCAGGUGGAGCUGGUCAAAAAGCUUCAAGUGUGGCUGGAAACCAUGAAACCUCAUGGCAGCCUUGAAGUCCACACUGGAGGAGAAUGCACAGAUGCCUGAAAGUCCUACAGGGUAGGGACGUAUUCUCAUCUGAAACACAGCAGGGAAUGCUCUGAAUGUCCUUCCAAUCCCUUUUACAGGCUGACUUUACUUACUCAAUCAGGCCUGCACUGCAUUGAAAAGGGGAAGAUUUCCAUCUCAUGUCAGUAACAGAACCAGAAGUUCAGAGAGCCGCUCCUGGUCCUCUGAUUGCCUGGCAAGCCCCACCCCUUCUCGCACACACUGCAGUUGCAUGAACCACACUGACAACUGGGCAAUUCUUUUUCCUUUUUUCUUUUUUUUUCCUGCAUGCUGAAUGCUUGGUGUCAAGGGAGUCUUUUUUUUUUUUUUUUUUUUUUGCUUCUGUCCACCUAUGUAUCAGAGAAAGAUCCAGAAACUACUUUAUUUUGUUAAGACCAAACUGAUUUCAAUACCCACCCUGAAACUCACUAUCUCAGAAAGAUCAAGGAAUAUAAACACACUUGCAUACAGUAGGACUCUAAGAUCACACACUCAUUCAAAUUCUAAAGGAUGUUUACUCAUCUCAGAAUAAUUUACAUUAUUUUUCUAUGUGUAAUCACAGCCCUGUGUUGAUUACCCAUGCUGAGUUUUCCCUUUUGUGUGAUGCUAAGUAGUGUCUGCCUCUUCCCCUAUUUGAUCUUCAUGAGAUUAUUCCAGGAAGUCUCAGAAGACAGAGGGAGUUCCCUCCAUAAAUAUGUGGUAGAGCAAGUAUGAAUGUUAAGGCUUUCCUGCAAAACAAUAAAAUACUCAUAAAUAUUUUAACUUGAAGCAACAAUGACACUUUAAAGGCAGCGCCUCAGCAAGUGACUCCAAGAAAAAGGCAGAAAUAGAAUCACAGAGACAGCGUAGGCUAAGGCACUCAAUGAUCCAGGUAGGAGAGAGUAAGUCAGAGGAAACUGGAAAAGAAACACACACACACACACACACACACACAACUCACACAACUCACAACUUACAAACUCAAAUCUGAAGGAAGGAAUGGAAACAGGCUGACAGAGAUAAUUUAUUCGCCAUGACGAAUCACAGUGAUCCCAGAGAGAAAAGAAAUAAAUUGUAUGAACGACUAAGUAAGCCCUGGAGAAAGGACUUUGCUCUGCCGUAAUGGAGACACGGACUGAAGGGCGGUAGAGGACUUCUGGGGACUGAAAAGAGUCAUCCCUGGCAGGCGGACUUGUGUUUCUCACCAUCAGUUCUAGAGCAGGGUGUGAGAUGAUGAAGGGCUCUCACAGAGGCUCUCUCACACCAGGAGAGAGGCAGAUCUGUGUGAGAUUGGAGCCGACUGGAAUGGAAUGUGACUCUGACACUGCUCAGGACUGAAGAAAAGAUGGCUCUCAGUGCUGGCUACAAGAUGACUUUUUAACACCUCUCUUGUUUCUCUCUCAUGUCAUGGGACACUCUGGGCUCUCAAUGACAGAGGUACUUGCGGCUGAGGACCUGGACUGGGGUCCUGCUUUAGGACCUUACAUUUACCCCCUUUGCUUUGUAGGUCUUUGCAUGCUUAGCUCACCCAGUGCCCCGAGGCCAUUGCGCAACAUUUUCUUCCCGAUUUAACGAGGAAAUGAUCAAGAGGAUCCAUUCUUAUUCUCUGUGUAUUAUUUUUUUUGUGAUUAAUUACUGUCUGAAAUUAUACUUUAAUAACUAUCUGCCAGUCCUCUUAUUAUUCAAGGCCACGAGUUCUCGAUCGGUUUAUUUACAGAGCAGCAGCAGCACAGAAAUCUAUGUAGAAACUCAGUAAAUAUUUGUUGCCUGCAUAAGACAGAAGCUCAUCCUCACACUCACCUGAUGCCAGCCCGACAAGGCUUUCUUUCUCUCUUCACUUCCUGUUUUAUAGUACAUGUCACAGGUACCUUUCUAUUCUUUCUGUUUCCCUUCUAUUUAGGUAUACGGUGUUUUGGCUGCAUGUGUCUCUGUGUACCACAGGCCGGAAGUGCCCACGGAGGUCAGAAGAGGGAUCUUCCGGAUCUGGAAUUACCAACAGUUGUGCUUCACCAUGUGGGUGCUGGUAAUAGCUGUAAGGUCCAGAAACAGCUACGAUGUCAACAGCAUCCUCCAGGUUCAUUCCAAUCCAUUUGCUGAAGAUGCCUGCUGACCCCUGCCUAAGAACGGAAGCAAGGAGCUGGGAAAAUACUACCUCUACUUGUGAAGAUAAUCCACAAUAUAUUCUUCUGUUUUGAGAAGAGCAUCUCCAACGAAACCACUGUGUUCCUUUUUUACAGCUAUGAAGAAAUUUGGGUGAGCGAUGGAUUAUUUCAGCAUCACACACUGCCUUCAGCCAGUUGCACGUGUUCUGGGUGUUGUCACUCUGUGUCUACCUGUGUGCCUGUCCCCUGACUCUCCUAAAAUAUAUUUGUUGAGCCACACAAAAUUUCUUUUCCUUCUACAAUGAUGAAGGAGCUAAAGUGAUGGCCUUGGGUUGGAUUACAAUUACUGAUCUAUUUGGCUUGGUCCAAUAAUAGUAUUUAAAAAAAACAAAACAAAACAAAACAAAACAAAAAAAAAAAAACAGAAACACCUGGGCAGUUCACACUUUGAGAUGUUUCAUAAUUGUAAGUUUUAAGUUCCUCCCUGCCAAUCUGAGCACCUGGCAAAUGCUGGAUUCAUCCCAACCUGACAACAUGUGGCUGGUUCUCUUUUCUCCAGGUAGCCUCAGCUGUCCUUCCUCCCGAUAUGUCUUUAUUCUUUCCCACUGUUCCACUUGACUUCCAUUCUCAAGCUCCCCUGGAUCUGGAACAUCUUUUAACUCUCCAAUUUAUUAGAGUGCUAAUUCAUGCUUCAGGUCUUAGAGAACUCACGCCCUCUGACAUUUUCACUGACCGUUGCCUACCACCAACCAAGAGAGCAGAGAAUGUAUUUAUGCUUGCACAUCCAGAACAUGACACAAGCUGUCAUCAUCAAAUCCUCUGUGACUCUCUACACUUCUCCCACCACUGUAUGUCAGAGUCAGCAAAAUUUGACCAUGUGGUAGGAUCUUGCUAAACAUAUGUUGAGUAAAGGUUUGGCAACAAGUUAGAUGAGGAAUAUCUACUCUAAAAUAUUUGGGUUAUGUAUUUAUGUACAUUAUGCAUUAGCUUUAAUUUGGGACUUCUGGAUUGUCAUUCCCUCCCCUACCCCACAUUCAAUGGCAAGUGAUGCUCUAAGCACUCUCUUGGCUGGGGCAUCUAACUUUUACAAGAGUCUGAAAGGGAAAAUAUCAGAUCAGGACCCCUGAGACCAAGUUCUUAGACCAAGGGAGAUUUAUUUGCUGGAGAGGGACAGAAGGCAGGAAUGAGAGUCACAGACAGGUGAUAGGGGAAGAGGGAGAAGGGGAAGGGAACAGGGAGAGAGGAGAAAAGGGGCAAGGGAGAAGAGUUAGGGGUAUUUUACCCAGAGCAGGACAAAUGACUGUCUCUGGAUGGAGAGUAGACAGAUAUGGCACAUAGAAAACUUGUGGUUUAUGUCCCCGCCCUUGCCCAUGAGUAGAAAAUGUGCCUUUUGGCCUUCAUGAAGUUGCCCCAACAACUGGGGCUGGCUGUUCCUGAAUCUGUUGCCUACAUGUGGAUCCUGUUCCUUUAAGUGGGCCACCUUGCCUUGUCUGGCCUCAUUGGAAGAGGAUGUGCCAAGUCUAGCAGUUACCUGAGGUGCAGUGGGGAUGGGCCUGGGUUGCUCCCCAAGUAUUUGCCUGUCCUUUUACCUUGGAAAGUUAUUUAACACCCCAAACACCCAGUUUUAUCAUCUCCAAAAUGGGGGUAAUGGAAAUAUAUAUGUAAAUGAACUCUGAAGGGACUCUGGCUUGCUCAGCUAGGGGAGCAUGGCUCGGGUAGGCCUUGCCCUUCCGGCAUUCCUUCUUCUGGGGUGAUACCCAGAGGGGGGCUCCAGAAGGGUGAGGGGGAAAUGAGGGGAGGAUCUGCAUGAGGGGGUACUAGGAGGAGGGGGGCUGGUAUUGGGAUAUACAAAAUUUUUAAAAAAAAGAAAGAAAGAGAGAGAAAGAAAGAAAGAAAGAAAGAGAGAAAGAAAAAGAAAAAGAAAAAAAAACUGGUUUAUAAAGAUAAAAUGGGGGCAUCAUCCUGAGUGAGGUAACCCAAUCACAAAAGAACUCACAUGACAUGUACUCACUGAUAAGUGGAUAUUAGCCCAGAAACUUAGAAUGCCCAAGAUACAAGAUACAAUUUGCAAAACACAUGAAUCUCAAGAAGAACGAAGACCAAAGUGUGGACACUUUGCCCCUGUUUGGAACAGGGAACAAAACACCCAUGGAAGGAGUUACAGAGACAAGGGUUGGAGCUGAGAUGAAAAGGAUGGACCAUCUAGAGACUGCCAUACCCGGGGAUCCAUCCCAUAAUCAACCUCCAAACGCUGACACCAUUGCAUAUACCAGCAAGAUUUUGCUGAAAGGACCCUGAUAUAGCUCUCUUAUAAGGCUAUGCGGGGGCCUGGCAAACACAAAAGUGGAUGCUCACAGUCAGCUAUUGGAUGGAUCACAGGGCCCCCAAUGGAGGAGCUAGAGAAAGUACCCAAGGAGCUGAAGGGGUCUGCAACCCUAUAGGUGGAACAACAAUAUGAACUAACCAGUACCCCCCGGAGCUCGUGUCUCUGGCUGCAUAUGUAUCAGAAGAUGGUCUAGUUGGUCAUCAUUGGGAAGAGAGGCCCCUUGGUCUUGCAAACUUUAUAUGCCUCAGUACGGGGGAAUGCCAGGGCCAAGAAGUGGAAGUGGGUGGGUAGGAGAGUGGAGGGGGCCUGGGGGACUUUUGGGAUAGCAUUGGAAAUGUAAAUGAAGAAAAUACCUAAUUAAUAACAGGUCUAUAAUCAGCAUUCAGUAGGCUGAGAUUAGGAGGAUCACGAGUUCGAGGUUAGCCUCAUCUAUAUACCAGGUGCCAACCUAGUCUGGACUAAACAGUGUCUCCAUCUUCAAAACAAAACAAAACAAAAACAACAAAAGACCUAAUAAAGAGACAAUAGACUAUUCAAGUUUCCCCAAGUAGACUUGAUUGCACAUAAAGGCAAGAACACUUUAUUCAUAGCCUAACUGUUUGAGCUAUUUUUAUGUAGUUUUAACAAUUAGCUCUUGCAGCCUAAAGGAGUUAAAGUGAAGAAUCAAGAGUCUGAUAUUCAUGGCCGUUUCAUCAAACCACACAGUUUCCAAGGCAAUGAUAAGAAUCUUUAAUCUCACGUUAUAAACGAGAUAACGAACCUACUGAGCUAUAAGUGCGGCUGUAAAGUUAACAGCACACUCCUCAGCCUGCCCUUCAGCCUGCCAGGCCUUAUUGUGCAGGUCUAAUCAAUUCUCAAAAGUUCCACAGGAAUGCAUGUAGCUUAUGAAACUCCACCCAGCCAGCAGGUAAAUUAACUUUUCUUUGAACUAGGGAAAGAAUUGGUGUCAUCGCAUUUUAUAAAAUACAACUUACUUGGAAAGAAAGAGCUCAAGUCAAUCCUUCACCUUUUUAAAGUUCAAGAGCAUUCAGAGUGAUUAUUAUUUUAUUAUUAUUAUUAUUAUUAUUAUUAUUUUAAUUGUUGUUGUCGUGGCUAACAAACAAAUAAACAAGUUUCAUUUAACUUAAGUGAGACUUGCAAAGCCAAUCCAGUGUUCAUCAGACAUUUGUGCCUGUGGUGUCCUGGAUAACAAAUGUCCCCAUAGAUUCAAUAUUUGAACCCAGUAUUUGAACAAUAUUGCUACUGUCUGGGAAAAUUACAAAAUGUUUAGGUUAAGGGAUUCUGUCUUCUAUAAAUUGCUUUUGAUCAUGGUGUUUUAUCACAGCAUCAGACAAGUAUCUAAUACAAUAUUAAAGUGUUACUCUAUUGAAAACUGUAUAUUUGCAAGUGGGUAAGAUGGCUCAGUGGGUAAAGGUACUUGUCACCAAGUGUGAAACCUGAGUGUGAGACCUUAAGCUGACAUGGAGGAAGUAGUGAGCUAGCUACCACAAUAUGUUCUCUGAUUUCCUAUGUGUGCCUGUGCCUCCCCCUAUAAAUAAAUUAAUAUAAUAAAGUUAUUUUAAGUUAUGUUCAUAAAAACAAAAUUUUCCACUCUCUAGUUAUUUUUCUAGGCAUUAUAAUUUCCUUCCCAAGAGGAGGAGAAAAACAUCAACGUGGUUACCCAGUUAAUUGAAGUUUUGGAUAAAAUUAUGGUAGCUUUUCAGUAUUUGAUUACCACAUAAUACAGUGUUUAAGUGAGGGUUCUCAACCUGUGGGUCGAGACCCCUUGAGGGUAAGCUCAUUGGGAAAAUAUUGAUAUUCACAUUAUAAUUCAAAACAUUAGCAAAAUCACAGUUAUGAACUUAUAAAGAAAAAAUAAUUCUAUGGUUGGGGUCACCACAAUGUGAGAAACUAUAUUAAAGGGUCCCGGCAUUAGGACCACUGUCUUACUGGCUGCUUUUGCUCUAAAAUAGUUAUUUCCAAAUGUGCGUCUAUUUGAUGAAACCUGGGCAUUUGAGACAUUAGUUUUAGAAAGUACAUUCUUAGUGAACCUGGUAUUUACUCCAUUCUGUGAGGCAGCCUCACAAAAUUAUGACCUACAAGGGCUUAUAUACAGCUUUCUUGACACUUUCUACAAGCCACGUAUUGCUGUUAGAAUAUGUUUGAUGUCCAUAUAAAGAUAUAGGUGUCACUAAAUUAGUUUAGAAAGCCCUUAAGGGCAAGAAAUAUAUUCCAUGUCUUGCUCUAUAAAGCACCCAGCAGACUUGCAUUGCAUAAUACAGGGACUCAUGAAAAUGUCUAUUAAAUUUAGGCUAUAAGAAUGACAGGCCUUAGCCAUUUAAUACAGAGUAUAAAGCUGAUUUUCUUGGCGGUUUUCCUUAUAAGGUAGUUAGAAGACAUUAAACGAUGUCUCUUGUGUCUGUGAUUAUCAACUAAGUUUCUGAAUUCACUUUACAAAGAAGAAGGUCCCCCCCCCCCCAAAUUAAUUUUACUUGUAGGAUGGAAACAAGACUGUAGAGACAACAAAACAUCUGAAGCAAAAGUUCUUGUCUCUAAGACUGGGGCCAGUAGGAUCUUCAUGGUAGUUGAAUUUCUAUAACCAUGGGAACAGAGAUCCAUAGCUUAGACAUAGGGUUUGCUGGAUAAAGGACAGUUUCAGCUCUGUUAACCAGUUCCAGAAAAUGCGGUGCUGUCCCUCUCAGACUUAAAGAGCUCCAGGCCAAAUUCAUCUUUAAGUCACCAAAUCUCAGCUUUAGGACCAAACUCAGGUCAGGGACCCACUAGCACAGAGCUUCAGCCUAAGACUUUGGCUCAAAACCACCACACAGCCCUCUAAAAUCGUCCCAGCAAGCUCUAAGCAGCCAACAGAACAACGCGUAUUUGUCCAGGUCAACAAAGAUUCUGAUGGAAGAGAGUACCAAGGCCACACAGAUGAGGUGACCCAACCAGAUUUAGUGAAUAUAGGAAGUAGUGGGUACUGUCCAUCCUGCCUGACAGAGCAAUCACCCUUCCCUGGAGGAUUACACACACUCUAAAGCUGGCAGAAAACCGCGGGGAGACAGCAGAGCUGGGCUGGCGAUGAGGAUGGGGAAUUUCCAUGCUUCCAGGCACUUGCCAGCACUUCAAGCGCCUCAGUCGGUAUUCCACGUCCGUAGCUGUCAAUCUGCGCGGCCCCUACUAACGCUCAAACUAGUCCUAAGGAUCCACUCGGGGUCCCGCGGGGCUUCGCAACCGCCACUUAGAGUUGUCCAAAAGGGGGGCACAAAAAACCCAAGGCGAAUGAACAAACGCGCCCAGAAAGGCGAGGGCGCAGUUAAAGUGCCACAGUGGGCACAGCACCGGUGAAGAACGCGGUGGUGCUGACAACCCCAGCACUUGGGAAUGCCAGGAAGGCUCGGACGCCGGAUGCCAGGACCCCGGCCGCGCCGGAGGAAACCCACCGGGUCCCUGCGCCAGGAAGCCAAGGGACCAGCAGCCCGCUCCCCGCCCCGCCUCUGCCCAACUUCCGCGCC